AAUCAACGCUGGCGGCGUGCCUCAGACAUGCAAGUCGAACGAUUAAAGCUCUCUUCGGAGAGUGUAUAGAGUGGCGCACGGGGUGAGUAACACGUAAGUAAUCUACCCCCGAGUGGGGAAUAACAACCGGAAACGGUUGCUAAUACCGCAUAAUGCAGCGGCACCGCAAGGUGACAGUUGUUAAAGAUUUAUCGCUUGAGGAGGAGCUUGCGGCAGAUUAGCUAGUUGGUAGGGUAACGGCUUACCAAGGCUACGAUCUGUAACCGGUCUAAGAGGACGGUCGGUCACACUGACACUGAAUAACGGGUCAGACUCCUACGGGAGGCAGCAGUCGGGAAUUUUGGGCAAUGGGCGAAAGCCUGACCCAGCAACGCCGCGUGAAGGAUGAAGUAUUUCGGUAUGUAAACUUCGAAAGAAUAGGAAGAAUUAAUGACGGUACUAUUUAUAAGGUCCGGCUAACUACGUG
rnacentral:rRNA from 1 species